CAGAAAAGGGAAAAAAUUACACCACCCCCGCUUACCUUAUCCACACUCCCGCAUCCCCAUUCUCGCGCGGAUCCUCCCCGCCGUCGACGCACUUCCAUCUCCCCCAGUCGCCGCCCGCGCGGUUCCUCUCCGGUCGCCGCUGCCGUGGUUCCUCCGCCACCCCUUCCCUUCGCCCACCUUCCCUGCAACCUCUCUCAACCCUCCCAACAACCCGCCAGCCCACCUCCGGCUGCCGCCCACCCGCCGGCUUGCCGCCGCCCUUGCCUCCUCCCGGCGCGAGGCCGCCCCGCUUCCUCCUAGCGUGCCGCCGCCCCAACUACUUCCGGUUCGAGGCCACCGCACCACCUUCUUCCGUCGCGUGGCACCCGGUCCAGACGCGCUCCACCCGCCCACCCGGUCCCUGCGCUCCUCCCGCCGGCUCCCUCCGGUCCAGACGCGCUUCCCACUGCCGCCCGAGGCCACCGCGCCCCACCCCGUAGCCAUCCUCGACCCUCGUCCCUGCCGUGCCCGUCAGCGAGGUUAACUAUGAGAUCCCUCCACGUCCUCUAUACUCCACCUCCUUAAUUUUCCUUGGAUUUGAUCUUAAAGAAUGGGGAAGUAGCUCCGGUGGCUUCUCUUCAGUCCAUGAACGAGGUUGCUCAGUGGGAUGCACGAGCUGGGGAGGCUGCAGUUCGGCGACGCGUACACACAGUUCGUCGUUUGCCUGUGGCAUCAUCCUGCUGGUCAGUGACCAACGGAGCUGGCCUGAGGCGUGGUCUUGCUCGCCGGCGCUAGGCGCAGCUCGGCUGGAAGUAAGGAGCCUAUGAAGUUUGGCCGGUGAGCCUAUGCAGUCCGACGGCGCAUGUGUGCUUGUGUCCUGUUCACGAGCGUAGCGUGUGUGAUGGUUGUGUGCACACGACAGCCACAUGCGGUGUUAAGAGAAACCAAGCUAGAAGCAGAAGGCAAUACCUUCAUACGCGUGUGCACGCAAGAAAGACACAGAGAAGUUCAGGCAAUGUGAUGAUGCAAGAGCGGCAGCAUCCAUGGCAACUCGAGUAAAUUUCUUAUGGUCAUUCGAAUAAAAAAUGGUAGCGACUUCGUGGUGGCCGGCGUCUAGAAUGCAUGGUCAAAACUAGUCUGAGUGUUGCUAGGAAAGUAUUUGCUUUAAAAAGAACUACAUCUCGCCAGUCCAAUUGUAUUCUUCUUCAGUUAACAACUUCAACAUGGCAAUAUCUUCUUGCAACUUCUACUGAGCUUAAUACCAAGAUAGUAGCCAUUCUUUCGACUUCCGUACUUCAUUUGUAAGAACCAUUCUGGAUUCCUAACAACAUCUCUGCAAUAUUUCAGGAAUUCUCGCUUCUUCCACAGCUAGCGAGAUCAAAGGCCAUUGUCGACAAAGCUAAGCUCAAGAGUGCAACUUCAGUCGAAGAUAUGCAUUAGAGAUUGCGAGAAGCUCUCACUAGUCUGGCUCUUCUGUUUAACUUGUGUCAACACAUAUGGCCUCUUCAGUUUGGGACUACAGCUUCUUUUGAAAAGUCACGACUACGAUGACAAAUAAUGUGGCCAUAGUAUAUGUUCUAUGUGUAGUUUGUAAUUUUCUUAGAUGCCCCUUGGCUGUUAACACAUAAACGUUGGUACUUGUGGCAUAUUAUUUGUUAUAACUGAGUCUGAUCUGCUUCUUUCUUCC